GGAAGGGUAGCGAAGAGGCUAAACGCGGCGGACUGUAAAUCCGCUCCUUCGGGUUCGUGGGUUCGAAUCCCUCCCCUUCCA
rnacentral:tRNA from 1 species